AGACGUCUACAUUAGAUACCCGUGUAGUCCUAGCCGUAAACGAUACUCGCUAGGUGUCGGCCACGGUGCGACCGUUGUCGGUGCCGUAGGGAAGCCGUGAAGCGAGCCACCUGGGAAGUACGGCCGCAAGGCUGAAGCUUAAAGGAAUUGGCGGGGGAGCACCACAACGGGUGGAGCUUGCGGUUUAAUUGGAUUCAACGCCGGAAAUCUUACCGGGACCGACAGCAACAUGAAGGCCAGGCUGAAGACUUUGCCGGAUUAGCUG
rnacentral:rRNA from 1 species